AAUUACGCGACAAAAUAUCUCGUGAAACUGCAAAAAUUAUAAAAUUGAAGGUCGCACAGGACACAGCAUAUUGGGAUUUGAAGGAAAAGCUUCAGCAAGUGGAAUCCAAUCAUGAGCGAUUGCAGCAGAACAUGGUGGAAGUCCAGAUGCAGCACGAGACAACAUCUGGCCAGUACGAGGACGAACUGCGCCUGAGACCCGAGAUCCUAAACAAACUGGGCGGCACGCGGGCGCUGUGCGAGGUGCUGGAGGAGUACGGGCGGCGCGUGCGCGCGGGCGUGGCGCGCGCCGCCGCCGAC